rnacentral:rRNA from 1 species
UCGGAGUGCUUGCACUCUGUGAAACAAGAUACAGGCUAGCGGCGGACGGGUGAGUAACACGUGGGUAACCUGCCCAAGAGAUCGGGAUAACACCUGGAAACAGAUGCUAAUACCGGAUAAUAACAGAUGAUGCCUAUCAACUGUUUAAAAGAUGGUUCUGCUAUCACUCUUGGAUGGACCUGCGGUGCAUUAGCUAGUUGGUAGGGUAACGGCCUACCAAGGCGAUGAUGCAUAGCCGAGUUGAGAGACUGAUCGGCCACAUUGGGACUGAGACACGGCCCAAACUCCUACGGGAGGCAGCAGUAGGGAAUCUUCCACAAUGGACGCAAGUCUGAUGGAGCAACGCCGCGUGAGUGAAGAAGGGUUUCGGCUCGUAAAGCUCUGUUGUUGGUGAAGAAGGACAGGGGUAGUAACUGACCUUUGUUUGACGGUAAUCAAUUAGAAAGUCACGGCUAACUACGUGCCAGCAGCCGCGGUAAUACGUAGGUGGCAAGCGUUGUCCGGAUUUAUUGGGCGUAAAGCGAGUGCAGGCGGUUCGAUAAGUCUGAUGUGAAAGCCUUCGGCUCAACCGGAGAAUUGCAUCAGAAACUGUCGAGCUUGAGUACAGAAGAGGAGAGUGGAACUCCAUGUGUAGCGGUGAAAUGCGUAGAUAUAUGGAAGAACACCGGUGGCGAAGGCGGCUCUCUGGUCUGUUACUGACGCUGAGGCUC